rnacentral:rRNA from 1 species
UACGGAGGGUGCGAGCGUUGUCCGGAAUCAUUGGGCGUAAAGGGCGCGUAGGCGGCCUGAUAAGUAGGGGGUGAAAUCCUGCGGCUUAACCGCAGGGCUGCCUUCUAAACUGUCAGGCUCGAGCACAGUAGAGGCAGGUGGAAUUCCCGGUGUAGCGGUGGAAUGCGUAGAGAUCGUAAGGAAGACCAGUGGCGAAGGCGGGUCUCUGGACAGUUCCUGACGCUGAGGCACGAAGGUCAGGGGAGCAAACGGG